CGAAUGGGGCAACCCACCGUGCCGACAAGGUGCGGUAUCCGCCGCCGAAUACAUAAGCGGCGGAGGCGAACCCCGCGAAGGGAAACAUCCCAGUAGCGGGAGGAGGAGAAAUCAAAAUGGCUUCGCCAUUUUCGCAAAGGGAUGUCAUCCCUUUGGAACCCUUCGGGGUUUCAAAGGGGCGCAGCCCCUUUGUGAUCGACGGCGAAGCCGUGAGAUUCCCCUAGUAGCGGCGAGCGAACGGGGAACAGCCCAAACCUCACGGGUGUCAAAGCCCGCAGGCGUUGCCCGUGGGGGGUUGUGGGACGAUGGUGGGGGCCGCUGCGGAGGCCCCGGGGAGUUACAAAGGCCUUCUCUAGCCGAACGGCCAGCAAAGUCACUGGAAAGGGCGACCGGAGAGGGUGAAAGUCCCGUAGGCGAAAGGGAAGGCCCUCCCUGGCCAUCGUUCCCGAGUAGCGUCGGACACGUGGAAUCCGGCGCGAAGCUGGGGGGACCACCCUCCAAGGCUAAAUACUCCCGGCUGACCGAUAGUGCACCAGUACCGUGAGGGAAAGGUGAAAAGGACCCCGGGAGGGGAGUGAAAUAGAACGUGAAACCGUCCGCCUACAGUGCAGUGGGAGCCCAGCUCGCCUUGGCCUCCGGGCCCUGGCGAGGGGGUGACCGCGUGCCUUUUGCAGUAUGAGCCGGCGAGUUACGCUCCGUGGCGAGGUUAAGCCCCUCUGGGGCGGAGCCGUAGCGAAAGCGAGUCCGAACAGGGCGUCUAGUCACGGGGCGUAGACCCGAAGCCAGGUGAUCUACCCAUGGGCAGGGUGAAGUGCGUUUAACCGCGCACGGAGGCCCGAACCCGUUGGCUGUGCAACGCCAUGGGAUGACCUGUGGGUAGCGGUGAAAAGCCAAUCGCACCUGGUGAUAUCUGGCUCUCCCCGAAAUGGCUCUAGGGUCAGCCUCACGUGAUAGGCGGCCGGGGGUAGAGCACUGGCUGGGGAAGGGGGGAAACUCCCGACUCCAAUCAAACUCCGAAUACCGGCCUGCCGUUUCGUGGGAGUGAGACUGCGGGUGAUAACGUCCGUAGUCGAGAGGGAAACAACCCAGACCGCCAGCUAAGGCCCCCAAAUCCAGGCUAAGUGGGAAAGGCGGUGUGGUUGCUGAAACAGCUGGGAGGUUGGCUUAGAAGCAGCCAUCCUUUAAAGAGUGCGUAAUAGCUCACCAGUCUAGCGACCGCGCGCCGAAAAUGUAACGGGGCUAAGCCUGGUGCCGAAGCUGCGGGGCGUCCGCUCCGGCGGGCGUCGGUAGGGGAGCGUUCCCAGCGGGGCGAAGCCGCGUCGCGAGGCGCGGUGGACUGCUGGGAAGUGAGAAUGCCGGCAUGAGUAGCGAGAGACGGGUGAGAAUCCCGUCCACCGAAUGCCCAAGGUUUCCUGGGGAAGGCUGAUCCACCCAGGGUUAGGCGGCCCUAAGCCGAACCCGAAAGGGGGUAGGCGAUGGACAGCCGGUUAAUAUUCCGGCCCCUCCGGACCUGCGCUACGAGCGAAGGGGGGACGCCGCGCGAGCUCCUCCGCAGGCUCACGGCUAUGCCUGUCCAAGCACCGAGUCAGAGGGGGUAGGCAAAUCCGCCCCCUCGCAACCGCCCUGUCCUCGCCCUUCGGGGCGGGGGCGGGACGGCCAGGCGAGGUGUGAUGGCGAGCCCCGUAAGGGGCGAAGGGGGGCGGCUUGAGCGGCCAAGAAAAGCCUCUAGCCAGUAGGUCCGGAGUCCGUACCGCAAACCGACACAGGUGGGCGAGGUGAGUAUCCACAGGUGGACGAGCCAACUCCGGUCAAGGAACUCGGCAAAAUGGCCCCGUAACCUCGGGAGAAGGGGCGCCUCUUGGGCUGCUGGGGGAACCCAGUGGUCUGGGAGGCCGCAGAGAAUCGGCCCGGGCGACUGUUUACCAAAAACACAGGUCCCUGCUAACCCGAAAGGGGAUGUAUAGGGACUGAAACCUGGCCACUGCCGGUAGGUCAAGGGGAGGGGUGCAAGCCCCGAACUGAAGCCCCGGUGAAGGCCGGCCGUAACUAUAACGGUCCUAAGGUAGCGAAGUUCCUUGUCGGGUAAGUCACGAACUUGCCCUGCCGCCCCGCGAGGGGCGGUGAAAACCCGGCUCAUAUCGGGGAAGCCCUCCUGCCCCCACAGGGGCGUGGGGUAAUCCCGAGGGAAGUCGGCCCGCAAGGGCUUGACCCCGUAACGACUGACCCGAAAGGGGAGGCGCGCUUUACCCCAAGCGCGCAAUACGCCGGGCCUCAUCCGGAGAAGGCGCCUAUGGAGGCUUCCUUCAUAAAGAAAAGGGGAAGCACGAUGGAGAGACUGCAUCCGUGGUACGUCACGGGACUUGUGGAGGGAGAGGGCUCAUUCGUGGUGAGCUUCUCCCUGCGACGGAGACUGAAGGUUGGGGUGGAGACCCGCCCUUCCUUCUCCGUCUCCCAAAGUGAGGGCAACCUGGAGCUCCUGAAGCGGCUGCACCGCUACUUCCGGUGCGGCGGCAUCCGCUAUUCCCGGGGGGAUCGGACCUAUAAAUACGAGGUGCGGUCCAUCGACGACCUGGUGAGGCGGAUCCUGCCGCACUUCGAGCGGUACCCGCUCCAGGGAGAGAAGGCCCAGGACUUCAGCAAGUUCGCGCGGAUCUGCAGGAUGGUGCACGCCAACCUCCAUCUCAAUCGUGACCGAUUGCGGGAGAUCAUCGAGCUGUCUUACUCGAUGAACCCUGCUGGGAAGCGAAGGCACAAGAAGGAAGUGCUCC
rnacentral:rRNA from 1 species